CCGGGAGCCUCUUUGGGGGGCUGGGACCCCUGGGGAGCCUCUUUGGGGGGCUCCACAGCGUUCCCGUCCCUGACGGGCUCCGUCCCCAGGUGCCCCUGCGCUGACCUCCCGCCAGUUCCGCGAGGAGGAUUUCCAGAAGGUGGUGGAGUUCAUCGACGAGGGCAUCACGCUGGCCCUGGACGUCAAGAGCAAAACCAGUAAGCUCCAGGACUUCAAGACUUUCCUGCUGCAGGACCCGGAGACGCAGCGGCGCCUGAGCGACCUCCGGCAGCGCGUCGAGACCUUCGCCCGUGCCUUCCCCAUGCCCGGCUUCAGCGACCACUGAGGAUUGGGGGGGGGGACACCCCUCCUGCCAGGCUGGGGUCACUUUUGGGGGGGAUAAGGAGAGGCUGAGACCCACCCUCUGCCUUUUCCCCGCUCCCCUUCUCCCGCCGUUAUCGCCCUUGGGUGCCGCGUCGCGGGGUGGGCGCCCGUCCUUGCUGUCAGUGUUAGGGUGCAGAGAGCCCCCGCACCCCGCUCGGGGCAGGGGGGGCACCGCUUGUUCCGGCCUCGUCUUGCACUUUUCUAUGGGGAGGGGUUGCUAAUAAAAGCUGGGGGCAGAGCCUG